CCUCUGAGGUCAGUCCUGUUUUCCACUUUGCCUCCUGACCACGGUGAUGUGAAGAGACUUCAUCGUAAGCUCCAGGCUGCUGCAGCUGCCGCGCCCUCUCCGCUGUGAUGGGGAGAUACUCUGAAAUACUCUGAAAUUGUAAGCCCAAAUCUACCUCUUCCCCUGGAGAAGCUCCAGGGGAUAGUUAAGGGCGAAGAGAUCGUGAAGGGAGAAGGCUCGGAGCCAUAGAGGAUGGUGUUCAAGUGGUGUCCAGCUUUCCGAGUGUAGGAUUACAGCAGCCAUCUUGCAGGAUUCCUGAGUCUCCCAAAGCCAAGGGCAUAGCAUGAGCAGCCUGGGGGGUCAUGUAGCUGUGGGCUCUGAGCUGUGAUCUUCAUAGGCUAACUUAAUGCUAACCCUUGAGUGACCUGCAGGGGAGGCAGGCACUGGACUCCCAGAGUCCCAGUUAUUGUCCCACCCUAAUUCUAACCACCUGGGUGUGGUGAGUCAGAAACUAUAGGGUUAAAUGGCUGGAAGAACCGGGUUUAAAAGGUGCCUUCAGGAAUUAGUCUGGGUGACUCUUUAGAGGUGCUUAAAACAUGGAUGGGAGGUGCCAGGCCCCAGAAAUGUGUCCCAAGCAGCUAUGGCUUCCCGCACGUGUGAUCUGUAACCUCUCACACACCUGUGCCACAUCCUCCCACUCAGAGUGCCUAGAGGAGACAAGGAGAGGGAGGGGCUGGUGGCCAUGCCUCUGUCUACAGUCAUUCCACCUGCCCUCCAGCUGACCCCCUCCACAGCCAAGCAAAUGGCUUGAUAAUUCAGGAAGGCUCAGUGCAGAUCACCAGAAGAAGCCACCAUACCACUGGGCCCUCACCACCUCAAUGCCCUGUCCUUUCACAGCAAAAUAUGAAGUCCUCUGGUCACACCCAACCCUACCAGGAACCUGAGCUUUACCUUGGCAGCCAUAGCAUUGCUGGGUCCACAGCUACAGGCCCACACAGGAUGAUACAUUUGGUCCUCACUGUCUGCUCAGAACAGAGGUUCUGUGACUGCCCCUGGGUCAUAACCCAGCAAGUGACAGAGAUAAGAUCUGACAUUUUGGAAGCUCGCUCUACAUUCGUUUUUGUUUUUGUUUUUGUUUUUUCUCAUAUAAUAGAAAGUUGGAGAUGAAGAGACUUAACCAGAAUAAAUCACCAGACUCUGGGUCCCAGAUCAUUCACUUCCUCUGGUGUUUCCAAGUAAAAAAUAACCCUAGAUUCUUUGUGACUAGAUAUAUUAAUGUGGGCUUCUAGAACUUCUGGAGCAUGAUAGAGGCAGAAGAGAACCCCCAGGAACCUUCUCAUACAUGUGCAUGUCUCAUACAUGUGCCUCCCACUUCUCCUGUGUCUGGGCUAUAGGCACAGACCUUGGCCCCCGGAUCCCUAAAUCUACCAUUUUAUUAUGGUUAGAAAAUAUACACAAAGCCCUCUUAGGCCAUUUUUUAAGAGUACAGUUUAUUGGUGCAAAAUUUGUUUAGAUUUUGUUUAUAUGUGUGAAUGUUUUUGCACGCAUGUAUGUCUAUGUACCAUGUGCAUGCCUGGUACCCACAGAGGCCAGAAGAAGGUGUCAGAUGUCCUGGAACUGAAAUUACAAAUGAUUGUGAGCUGCGAUGUGGGCGCUGGAAACUGAACCCCAUCCCUCUGGAAGAGCAAUCCACCUCUCCUUUGAACCGCCCCUCCAGCCCCAGUAGUUUAACUGUAGUGUUAGGAAAUCCAGUCUCAGAACACUUUCACCUUGCAAAAGGAAUCGUGUAAUAUUUGUCUUAUUUAUACAUCUUAUCUCUCGAGAAUGGCUCUGGGGUUCGCCUUUGCGGCUAGGUGGAUAGGGAGAGAGUUCUUAAAGUUUGAGAAGCAACGUUCUAGAGGGAAGUUUGAGUGUGUGGGGAUGCAUUCUUGGCUUCUCUCCAGUGUAUCCUUUUUCGCUCCUUGCAAGGGAAGCUUUUAAGAAUCCCAGUGCUUUUCUGUGCGAACAGCGGAAUGCUGAAGUUUGCCGAACACACCUCUAGACACAAAGACACUGGAGCGAGGAAUGAGGAUGUAAGUGGCAAGUAAUAGGGACACAACGAAACUGGCUUCCUCCGGUAUUGUCUGAGAAGAAGGAAGUAGAAUGUGGCCAGCCCAAAUGGCCCAGAUUGUCAGAAACAACGCAGGGAGUGGGAAAAUACAGUGUUGCUGGCCGUGCUCCAAGCGAUUAACACACACCAGCUCGCCAAAGAUGUCUUCGCCAGCACUGCCUUCUCCAAGGCUCAGAGUUCAAAAUGUGGUAACGCCGAGGCCCAUUCUGGGGGGCUUGUGGGGACGUGAAACAGACGUAGACCUUCAAGUUCAAGGUCUACCUGAGGUUUGAACCUUCUUGCUUCCAGCUUGACCUCAGUCAUUUCAGAUGCUCAGAAACGGGGUGCCUUGCCUACCUCACUCACCCUUUUGGUUCUCUUGUGGACUGCCCCCCCCCCAGAAAGCAGACAUUGGGGUGAGUGACUGACAGAGGCCAAGCUCCCAGAGCCGGAAGCAGAACAAAGAUGAAACCACACACGGCCUCAGCAAGCCUCAGUGGGCUCACCUGAGCUAUCCCCAAAGGUGGGGAAGGGGAGCAGGAAGCAGUCAGUGGAGUUGGAGCAAUCAAUCUGCCCCUGUUGUCCUUAGCAACCUGUUUGAGGGACAUCCGGGGACGCUCCGUGACUGUAGGUUCCAUGAGUCCGGAAGUACUAAUACCUAAGAGGAGGCAUGUCCAUCAGGUACAGAUCGGACCAGAUCACUUCCGGAGGGAGGAGCCAGCAGGUAUUUCACCAGCCAGCGUCCUAUAUGUAAAAAUACUCCAGGCCCCACCUCCCCUGCUUGGAACAGGGCAUCAGCUUCCAAACUGCUGGCCAGGUCUUUCCCGGUGGGCAGGAAGAAGGCUGCUCUGUGAAGACUGGAGUCUAAGGAUGGUUUAUCCUGACUAAAUCCUUUAUGCCACCUGAGAGAAACCGGGUCGGAAAGAGUACAUGUGGGCUGACAGGGCCACAUGCAGGAAGUGGUCCAUGAGGGCCCAGCCUGGAGACAGCACCAUUCGAGGGGACGCACGCACGCACGCAUGCACGCCCCCAGGAGGACCGUUUCCCUUCGUUAUAUGGGCUCUUGAGUCACCUAGCAGAUAAACUCUGCACCUGCCUCUGAAGGAUUAUCUGGAUCAGGUACACUGAAGUGGGAGGGUCUACUGUAACGUGGGUGCCGUCAACCCCAGACUAAGUAAAGAGAACAUGAACUGAGCAUGCUCCUCCGCAGUCUCUCUCUCUCUCUGCUUCCUGACUGCGGAUGUGAUGUGACCGGCUGCCUCGUGGUCCUGCCACCAUGCCUACACUGUGAGCCACAAGAAGCUCUCUCUUCAUUGGGUUGCUGUUGUAAGGUAUUUUGUGACAAUAAUGAAAAGUAAAAAUAAAUAAACGAUAUAGCCACC